rnacentral:rRNA from 1 species
GAUGAACGCUGGCGGCGUGCCUAAUACAUGCAAGUCGAGCGAACGGACGAGAAGCUUGCUUCUCUGGUGUUAGCGGCGGACGGGUGAGUAACACGUGGAUAACCUACCUAUAAGACUGGGAUAACUUCGGGAAACCGGAGCUAAUACCGGAUAAUAUUUUGAACCGCAUGGUUCAAAAGUGAAAGACGGUCUUGCUGUCACUUAUAGAUGGAUCCGCGCUGCAUUAGCUAGUUGGUAAGGUAACGGCUUACCAAGGCAACGAUGCAUAGCCGACCUGAGAGGGUGAUCGGCCACACUGGAACUGAGACACGGUCCAGACUCCUACGGGAGGCAGCAGUAGGGAAUCUUCCGCAAUGGGCGAAAGCCUGACGGAGCAACGCCGCGUGAGUGAUGAAGGUCUUCGGAUCGUAAAACUCUGUUAUUAGGGAAGAACAUAUGUGUGAGUAACUGUGCACAUCUUGACGGUACCUAAUCAGAAAGCCACGGCUAACUACGUG